rnacentral:antisense_RNA from 1 species
AGGUGAGGGCGUGUGGCUGAAGCCUGUUCCUGCUUGGGGGUUGGCCACACAGCAUCCCAACUCCAGGUCCAGAGCCGAGCCUGACAGCCCCCCUCCACUGCCUCCUGGAGCUGCCGGAGAGAGGUCCGGGUCCGUUCUCCCCAAUUCACAGACAUGAAGACUGAGGCCGUGGUUCCAGUGGCUGCUCGGUGGUGGGGCUGGAGCUUGGCAGCAUCCUGCAGCCCUCUGGACUGCCGGCUCUCGAGUGCCGCGUUCCACCUGCUGUGUUCUAAAUGGACAUGCCAUCCCCACAGCUGUGUCAAUAAAUCAGCCAUUUACAGAGCGGGCGCCGGAUCCCAUGACAGGUUGAAAACAGCUGCCGUGUGCCAUUGGCACCUCCUGUGUGCCAAGUGCUGGCUUAGUCUCCCCUGGCGUUUUCUCAUAUCCCAUUAACAACCCACCCGGUGGGUAUCAUCAUCCCCAUUUCACAGGAGCUGUCACUGCCUCUCUCCUUGAUGGCGGGGUAUGAAGAGAAGCCUUUUGACGCAGGGAGAUGAUCCCUCCCCAGCCUCCACCUACACAGCAGCCACGUGGCCACCCUGAGCAGCUGCCACAGUGACCGACACCCCCCGGAUGUGUUUGUCCUCCCACAGCAAAGCACAAUUAACAUCCCCACCGGUAAAUGAUAUGGGGCCAUAUUUCACCUGGACCCAAAUGUGGGCCACAGAGGCAUUAAAAUAAAUGACGGCACGG